GACGUAGGGGGCGAGCGUUGUCCGGAUUUAUUGGGCGUAAAGAGCGCGUAGGCGGCCCGGAAAGUCGGAUGUGAAAACCCGGGGCUCAACUCCGGGCUUGCGGGCGAUACGGGCAGGCUAGAGUUCGGUAGGGGAGACUGGAAUUCCUGGUGUAGCGGUGAAAUGCGCAGAUAUCAGGAGGAACACCGGUGGCGAAGGCGGGUCUCUGGGCCGAUACUGACGCUGAGGAGCGAAAGCGUGGGGAGCGAACAGG
rnacentral:rRNA from 1 species